CGCUGUGGCUGCCAGGAGGGAUCUCACUGCAGUCCUUGGGCCAACCUGGGGCAGGAAACAGAUGGCUGUUACAUCUUACCCGACACAAGGAAACCCUGAGAGCACACGGUUGGCCCAGACCAAGGAAUGGCAGUGAGAAAACACGACCUGGGAAGAAAGUGACCAUGGUUCCUGGCACACAGCUGCAAAGAAAAUAACACCUGUGCCAGCAAGAGUGCUUGGAAUGCACUCUGCUCAGCUCCUUGGAUGAAAUUCCUGCUGGGAGCUCUGAAGACUGCUGCUUUUGAACAAACACUUGGAUGCCAGUCCUCAUCUAGCGGGGAGAGCAAACACUGGACGAACCAUGGGCGGAUGGGGUGGGUUGGAGGGGGUCUAAGAGCACUCGGAAGGCAACAGAGGGGACUGGAGGGUAUAUAGAGGGGGUACGGUUUGGGUGUAAGGAAUGGCAGGGGCUGGGGUGUGCACAGAGGGCGGCGGAGGAGAUCUGAGCAUGCGUGGAUGGGAACUGCGGUGUUCCAAAGCAUGGGCGGGGGCAGAGAGGGGCUGCAGGCACCCCGAGGGGAAUGGGGGGCAACUGAGUGCCCACAGGGAGGAGCUGAGGGACCCUGAGCACCCACAGAGCGUAAUGGGCGACCACUGGGCGUGUGGGGAGCAGAGUGUGCUGAGGAGGAAGGAGAGGAGCUUCUUGUAUUUUCAUAUUACAUCUUGUCUUAACUAUCUCGGCAUAAUCUCGCUCUGUCUCGUGUGUGCGCAGGAAGGUCUCAGUGCCAGGUGAGACCUGCCUGUGUGCGCAGGAGCCGUUCCUGAUGAUUCUCCUUCGUGUGCCUGGAAGGGGUUUCCAAGGUGAGUUGCUCUAUCCUCUCCUAGGGACCGAGGGGAGGGACCAGCUGUCGUUCCCCUCCUCCUUUUCCCCUUCGGUUUGUUUUCCUCCAGUUUUUGGACGCUUCUUCCAGUUGCCACGGUCCAUCAAAGCUGAUGGGGAGUGGCCACGCAGUGACACCUGCCAGCCCCCCGGCAGCUGUGGGUGCAUCCCUCAGCGCCCAGCAAUUUGUUCGCGUCCAGCUUGCUCAAGCGUGCCCUGACCCGAUCCUUUCCACCAAGGGCGAAUCUCCCUUGCUCAAGUCUUUCCCAACGAGCCCGCGUUUUCCCGGCUCUUUGUACUGCAGGAAUCCUCUUUGCUGUGGAUUUUGUAUUGAACUGAGCUCCUUGUGAAGCAGCACUUCCCCAGAGUGCCCAUCCAGGAGGGCGCUCGGGGCGGCUCCAUGGUGGGGACAGGUUAUCACAAAGACAAGAAGCCCACGCACAGAUCAAAUGAACUUAGGAUUCCAGCUCCUGCACUUUGAGGAUAUCUACGUGCCUUUGCACAAGUGCUUCUCAGUGCAGAGAGAUUUCAGUGCGGAGGAUGAGAUGCAGCUCAGUGACUUAUUUGCUCCAUUUGGGACCAGCCCCAGUGUAUUAAGCUCCCUGGCAGUAGCAGUGAGGAUGUGGUGGUGCAGCCCUGCCCUGGGCCGCUCUGUGCUCUGUCACCGUUGUGCUGCUGCCUUUGUACCAGAGCAGGGAGUUGGGACGACAGGCGCUCCCUGGCUGCAUUGGACCCUCUGGCACACGGCUCCCCCGGGGCCACGCACGCAGUGGCUCCUGCCUCUGGGGGGUUGUCAUCUCCUCCUAUCCCACAACUUCCCUCUCCCAGAAACAGGUAAGACAUAUGAUUAUAAUUGGUAACAAACGCAAAGGCAAAUUCUCCCCCAUUCCAUACAGGCGAAGGGUUAGGGGAAGGACCCACGAGUCCCAGUUACAUCCCAUGGACAAUGCAAGAUGAGCAACUGCAAAUGUUUUGGUCCUCGGGGAAAGAUCCUGGCGGAUUCCUGAGGCGCUGGGACUUCAGGGGGAUUUGGGAACCCGAUGCAGGUCUGUGAGGGACCCCAGCGGCGGGAACGGUGAGUGCAGCAGGUCGGGAGUGCUCACAGCAGCAGCAGCAGCAGCACGAGCCCCAC